rnacentral:rRNA from 1 species
GACGAACGCUGGCGGCGUGCUUAACACAUGCAAGUCGAACGGAAAGGCCCUGCUUUUGUGGGGUGCUCGAGUGGCGAACGGGUGAGUAACACGUGAGUAACCUGCCCUUGACUUUGGGAUAACUUCAGGAAACUGGGGCUAAUACCGGAUAGGAGCUCCUGCUGCAUGGUGGGGGUUGGAAAGUUUCGGCGGUUGGGGAUGGACUCGCGGCUUAUCAGCUUGUUGGUGGGGUAGUGGCCUACCAAGGCUUUGACGGGUAGCCGGCCUGAGAGGGUGACCGGCCACAUUGGGACUGAGAUACGGCCCAGACCCCUACGGGAGGCAGCAGUGGGGAAUAUUGCACAAUGGGCGGAAGCCUGAUGCAGCAACGCCGCGUGCGGGAUGACGGCCUUCGGGUUGUAAACCGCUUUCGCCUGUGACGAAGCGUGAGUGACGGUAAUGGGUAAAGAAGCACCGGCUAACUACGUG